GACGUAGGGUGCGAGCGUUGUCCGGAUUUAUUGGGCGUAAAGCGCUCGCAGGUGGUUCAUUGCGUCGUGCGUGAAAGACCCCGGCUCAACUGGGGAGGGUCGUGCGAAACGGGUGAACUAGAGGCCAGUAGGGGGAUGCGGAAUUCCGGGUGUAGUGGUGGAAUGCGUAGAGAUCCGGAGGAACACCAGCGGCGAAGGCGGCAUCCUGGACUGGUCCUGACACUCAGGAGCGAAAGCGUGGGGGAGCGAUCCGG
rnacentral:rRNA from 1 species